rnacentral:rRNA from 1 species
CCCGUCUUGAAACACGGACCAAGAAGUCUAUCUUGCGCGCAAGUCAGUGGGUUACCUCGAAACCCGAUUGGCGAAGAGAACACAAACGUGUGGGAUUACGGGUGCACCGUCCUUUUCGGGGGCCGUGUGUUGCCCCUCCAUCCCCGGGUGUUGCUAACAGGACCGGUUCGGCCGGACACCGUGGCGACAUACCGCGAGCGCGUAGGAUGUGACCCGAAAGAUGGUGAACUAUGCCUGACCAGGUCGAAGUCAGGGGAAACCCUGAUGGAGGACCGAAGCAGUUCUGACGUGCAAAUCGAUUGUCAGAGUUGGGUAUAGGGGCGAAAGACCAAUCGAACCAUCUAGUAGCUCGUUCCUUCCGAAA